GUCAAUGUUUAUUCCAAUUGACAUUUUAAAUUGUUUUCGUGUCGGAAAGUUUGAAACGGAUUGUGGAGCUCAGAAGGAUUUAUUCUGUUUGAAUUUUGGUCAUCGUUUAUCAGAGAUACAAAAGAGUUCCGGAGAAAAGAAAAUAAAGAAAGUUGUAUUCGAUGAAAUGGAUGACAACGAAGUUGCGAAGUUGUAGGACCAAUGGCCAUCAAAGGGACAGAUUAAUCGAAUACGGAACUGUGCCAAUCAGUGUUUAUUUCGGGUGUGAAUGUCUGGCUGAAGGUAGGAUGCCCAGAUAUGCCCAGUUUCUUUCAAAGUAGGAAGGAUAUGAUCAAACAUUUCAACAGGAUACUGAAAGGUUCAGCGAAGCAGAUGUGACUGAAUCCAUUUGGAUGGUUCCAUUCUUCAGUUUGUCAUAAUUCAUGGAAUAAGUUAGUUUUUUAGUUUGUCAUAAUUCAUGGAAUAAAAUCAUGUCUUCAGUUUUUAA